GUGGGUGCUGUGAUGCCCACCCAAGCAUGUCAAAGCACCUUAUUAAGGUGGACACAAGUUUCCAUAUCAAGAUGUGCGUACUCUGCCCAUGGAGAUAUGUUUUCCUAUCUGGACAUCAGCCUUUAGACUUGUGGAAUGACUUUUCCUACUGGGACACAGGUCUUAUGGUGUGUGGAAGUGUGUUUUCACAUUUAAGGCCUGCUUUUUCACAUGGAGGUAUACUUUCCUAUAAUGGGGCACGUUUUCCCAUGUUCAGAGUGUGGAUUUUUGGGGCCACCUGGGACACAUUUUGGCCCUCUCAAGGAACUUCCUUCCAGGGUUUGGACCCCAGAAUCCUGACCUCUCACCCACUAAAGGAGACCUUGGAAGCUGGCAUUUUUACACCCGUCAAUGUAAGGUUGGAAUGCCUAUCAACCCAAAGGGUUGCUGCCCAGGAAAGAUGGAUAACAUGCUCGAGCUGGCCCCAAUCAUUCCCAAGAAUCUGCUUAUCCACAGGCCUCCAGCACUGAAGCAGAGAUGGAGACCUCCUGUCUAUCAGGACUCUCCUGUCUGUAGAAACCCUCCUAACUGUCAAAAUCCUACUGUCUGUUGGAAAGUUCCUGUCUGUCAGAACCAUUCUGUCUGUCGGAACCCUGCUGCCUCUGAGAACUCUGCUGAUUGUCGGAACCCUACUGUCUGUCAGAACCCAGAGGUCUGUGACCUCUGCACUAUGGACUCUGUGACUCUUGAUCUGACCCCACCAGGCUCCUGCCAUCGACACUCAGUUUUCUCACCAGAACGUAACCAAUGUCCAGAUGCUAGGCUUCCCAAUGGAGAUGACAAUGUUUCCCAGUAUCGGCACCCUGGCAAUUCCCCUGACAAUUGUCAAUAUGACCGGAACUCUCCAAGGCCUCAGGCAUACUUGAAAGGGUUAUCAGCUUGUCUGCCAUUCUCUGGGUUCCGUUUCCAACAGUACCUGGGAAGAUCAGCCAAGAGAGUGGAAGCAAAAGCCAAGAUGGAGUUUGAAGCUUGUGUGUACCCCAUUAACCCCUCAACACAUAAUGCUGAGACUCAGAGCUGCAAAGAGAGUACAGAACCAGGCAUGUAUGGAUAUUCCCCCCAGUAUCUCCAUCGGGUUACAGUCAGCCCUCUAAGCUGCAAUCCCAUGCCCUCCACAAACCACGUAAUGUACAACGGCUGGAAAAAGAAGAGGCACGUAUCAAGUAGGGGUGUUGACAGCUUGCCCCAUGCAUGCCCCCCAGACUGUCUUGAAAAGCCAAGCCAGGACUGGGUAUACUACUCCCUGGAGGAGUGGUAGUGGAGAAUAAUAAAAUGGAAAAAUAAGGGGUAGCUUGCA
rnacentral:lncRNA from 1 species